UACGGAGGGAGCUAGCGUUGUUCGGAAUUACUGGGCGUAAAGCGCGCGUAGGCGGCUUUGUAAGUUAGAGGUGAAAGCCCGGGGCUCAACUCCGGAACUGCCUUUAAGACUGCAUCGCUUGAAUCCGGGAGAGGUGAGUGGAAUUCCGAGUGUAGAGGUGAAAUUCGUAGAUAUUCGGAAGAACACCUGUGGCGAAGGCGGCUCACUGGACCGGUAUUGACGCUGAGGUGCGAAAGCGUGGGGAGCAAACAGG
rnacentral:rRNA from 1 species